GCAGAAGGAAACAGCCACUAUGCCUGGCUUGAGCAUGUGAGACCUCAGAUUCCUGCCCCCAGUGACACACUUCCUCCAACAAGGCCAUACCUCCUAGUAGUGUCACUUCCUGUGGGCCUAUGGGGGCCAUUUUCUUUCAAGUCACAACAAAGGAUGUGAACCGCAGCUGAGAAGACAGAAGCAACUAUGAGACCAAAACAGGAACAUGAACAAUACACCUCGCAAGUUAAUGGGAAACUAAAACAGGAAAAAUACACCUUGCAAGUUAA
rnacentral:lncRNA from 1 species